GACGAACGCUGGCGGCGUGCUUAACACAUGCAAGUCGAACGGAAAGGCCCUGCUUUUGUGGGGUGCUCGAGUGGCGAACGGGUGAGUAACACGUGAGUAACCUGCCCUUGACUUUGGGAUAACUUCAGGAAACUGGGGCUAAUACCGGAUAGGAGCUCCUGCUGCAUGGUGGGGGUUGGAAAGUUUCGGCGGUUGGGGAUGGACUCGCGGCUUAUCGGCUUGUUGGUGGGGUAGUGGCUUACCAAGGCUUUGACGGGUAGCCGGCCUGAGAGGGUGACCGGCCACAUUGGGACUGAGAUACGGCCCAGACUCCUACGGGGGGCAGCAGUGGGGAAUAUUGCACAAUGGGCGGAAGCCUGAUGCAGCAACGCCGCGUGCGGGAUGACGGCCUUCGGGUUGUAAACCGCUUUCGCCUGUGACGAAGCGUGAGUGACGGUAAUGGGUAAAGAAGCACCGGCUAACUACGUG
rnacentral:rRNA from 1 species